AUGAACGCUAGCGGCAGGCCUAACACAUGCAAGUCGAGGGGCAGCGAGAUGUAGCAAUACAUUGUCGGCGACCGGCGCACGGGUGCGUAACGCGUAUGCGACCUACCUAUAACAGGGGGGAUAACCCAGAGAAAUUUGGACUAAUACCCCAUAUUAUUAUUGAGCUGCAUGGUUUGAUAAUGAAAGACUUUGGUUGGUUAUAGAUGGGCAUGCGUGACAUUAGCUAGUUGGUAAGGUAACGGCUUACCAAGGCGACGAUGUCUAGGGGAACUGAGAGGUUAAUCCCCCACACUGGUACUGAGACACGGACCAGACUCCUACGGGAGGCAGCAGUGAGGAAUAUUGGUCAAUGGUCGGAAGACUGAACCAGCCAUGCCGCGUGAAGGAAGAAUGUCCUAUGGAUUGUAAACUUCUUUUGUAAGGGAGCAAUAAGUUCCAUGCGUGGGAUGAUGAGAGUACCUUACGAAUAAGCAUCGGCUAACUCCGUG
rnacentral:rRNA from 1 species